rnacentral:rRNA from 1 species
AUUGAACGCUGGCGGCAGGCUUAACACAUGCAAGUCGAGCGGGGUGAUGGUGCUUGCACUAUCACUUAGCGGCGGACGGGUGAGUAAUGCUUAGGAAUCUGCCUAUUAGUGGGGGACAACAUCUCGAAAGGGAUGCUAAUACCGCAUACGUCCUACGGGAGAAAGCAGGGGAUCACUUGUGACCUUGCGCUAAUAGAUGAGCCUAAGUCGGAUUAGCUAGUUGGUGGGGUAAAGGCAUACCAAGGCGACGAUCUGUAGCGGGUCUGAGAGGAGGAUCAGCCACACUGGGACUGAGACACGGCCCAGACUCCUACGGGAGGCAGCAGUGGGGAAUAUUGGACAAUGGGGGGAACCCUGAUCCAGCCAUGCCGCGUGUGUGAAGAAGGCCUUAUGGUUGUAAAGCACUUUAAGCGAGGAGGAGGCUCUUUUGGUUAAUACCCAAGAUGAGUGGACGUUACUCGCAGAAUAAGCACCGGCUAACUCUGUGCCAGCCGCCGCGGUAA